UCCAUACACCUAUUUGCUUCUUCUCUUAGCUUGUCAGGCAGUUGAAGGCAAAUCCAAUCUAGCAAUGAUUCCAAAUCCUUCGCAAAGUCGAGUAAAUACCAAUCUAGUACCUUUGGAAGCAUUAGUCUGUUGUUCUUUGAUAUCCCAACUGAUGCUUGAAGAUAAUCUUUCUUUGCCAUUUCUAGCUCUUCCUCUACAUUAGCUGCUGUGUAGACCUUUACCUUCAGUUUCAAAAAAAAUGGGAAGAUAAAAAGGUUAGUUAACCCUCUACUUAGUUUUCAUUCAAGCUUUUUCAAUUCCAUGUCUGAAAUGGUUAAGCACAGCUUACAGCAGGAGAGGACCAGCUUCCACAGGAGAGGGCAAAUGUAACCAGAGGCUCUGACCAUUCCAAUCCAAAUGUGCUAUGAGCUCUCAUCUCUUCG
rnacentral:lncRNA from 1 species